UACGUAGGGGGCAAGCGUUGUUCGGAAUUACUGGGCGUAAAGCGCACGUAGGCGGCUUUGUAAGUUAGAGGUGAAAGCCUGGGGCUCAACCCCAGAAUUGCCUUUAAGACUGCAUCGCUUGAAUCCAGGAGAGGUGAGUGGAAUUCCGAGUGUAGAGGUGAAAUUCGUAGAUAUUCGGAAGAACACCAGUGGCGAAGGCGGCUCACUGGACUGGUAUUGACGCUGAGGUGCGAAAGCGUGGGGAGCAAACAGG
rnacentral:rRNA from 1 species